ensembl:lncRNA
AUGUUCUAUUGGCGACGGCAUGGGUCUUAUGAACUGGAAACUGUGCCAUGUACACAGAGUGAGUUGGGGGUGGAGAAGUACACCUGGACCUCCCUCAUGGACAUUACCCAGAAGUCUUGUGGUGAGAAGCCUGCACAGGAGGAGAAAACUGGCAUCUUGUGUCAGCAUCCCAACUGUCCCGAACGGCGGCUUGCUUCCAAGGUGAGCCGUCAGAAUGUGUCACAGGGAAGCCCUGUAGGGGCAAAGCGAGCUGGUAAAUGUUCACCUCUUAGUGUUUUCGUGGACAUAAAUCCCAGGCAUGCCAAUUGCAUUUAUCACAUAGAAUAUUCCAGCACAAUAAUCAUUUGUCAGCAUGUGUGCUUUGGGAACUGACAGGAAAAACAAAAGUUUUGUUUGUCUUUGUGCUGUUGAAAGUUCAGUGGUGAGAGGACGGCUAUGAUAUUAUAGGCGACAUUUCACCAGCCUUCUCCUGGGAGUCUGGGGGUGCAGGCAUGGAAAAGAGAGAUUACUGUAGGGUAUAUGAGGCUGUUCGCAUAUAAACACGCUUACACAAAACACAAUAUGUCUCUCCCUUCCUGUUGUUCUCUCUCUCCCUUUAUACGCACUGUCUCUCUUAUUAUGUCUCUCUGUUUUUGAUUGCACUUUAUUGUCUUGGGACCAUUGCCAAACUGGUUUGACUAAAAAGUCAGUGUAUUCCUUCCUGUGUCCCUCUUUCUUUUAAACAUGAGUCACUCCCAUUUUUUUAUCACUGGCAAACCUGGUGCCUAUUCAUUACCAACACUUUCCACUUUUGUAUUUUAACAGGUGCUCCUUUACCUUUAAAAUCAUUGAUUAAAAUGCAGCCACAAUAUGAAUACUGAUGUAUUGGAUACAGUAAUCUUAAAUUGGACAAAAAAACAUGUGCCAGCAUUCCCCACGUUUGUAUGUAUAUAGUUAAAAAAUCUAUUUGUAUGUACUGUGUAUAUAGUUAAAAAAAACUUAACUAAACAACUGAAGAAACAAAUGAAUUGCAAAUCAGAUUUGGUUACAGCUCAUAUCUGAAUGGAUGAUUAUUGCCCAAAAUAAUGCAGAUUAUCAAACCUGGUUUCCGAGACUAGCAAUCUUUUGUUUAGUAAGACCAACAAGGCAGCCUAUCUUGUUGAGCAGGUACAGAUGAGAGAGUACUGACAGUUUCUGUAUGCAAAAAUAAUUGCCAGUAACAACCCUCUUCAAACUCUGGAUACAGAUAAACCCUGUAUAAAGGACAUCAAUAAAGUUUGUUUACACGGAACAUGUCUGAUUCAUUAUAGGACAUCACAGUGAUGUUUGCUUGUUUUUUUGGUAUCCUACAUUUCCUGUCAGCUCAACUCUGCCAGUGUCCUCUGAACUUUAGCAAGCUUUUGAAAAGAGUCUCUGGGUAAACACUUCUGUUUCUAGUCCUCUCUGAUCGAAGCCAGACUUAACUUAAUGUACCCAAUGUUUUUAUCUGAACCAGGAACACACUUAUGUCAUUACCCUUAAAAUAUGGAAAGAUGAGAGGGACUCUUGUUUAUUUGAAAAGGUUUCUGCUGAAAAAGAUAGAAGGAGAGUUUAAGUGUGCGCGUAUGAGUCUGUUUAUGUUUUGUGGUCUUUGUGGCUUGUCUCUAGUGCACUACAAGUUUCAUGUAGGUUUGUUCUUCCUGUCUCCUGCAAGGGGUCAAGAGGUGAAAAUACACAAAGAUGAUGACGAUAGAUUGCUGUUGACGUUUAACUGCAUGCUCAUCCUGCUAGCUGACAUUUAAUGUUGAAGUGUGUUUUUGGUGUGUACAUUAAUAUUUACGCUUUUAACUUUUGAUCUCACAAUUCAGACUUUUCGCAAUUCUGAAUAUAUACUGUAUCUUACAAUUUAGACUUUUUCUCGCAACUUUGAAUUUGUAUCUGUAUUUAUUGUGAUAUUGUGAACUUGCAAAUGCAAGAUAAAAGUCAGAAUUGUUGCAUGUAAACUCAGAAUUGUGCGGAAAAAGUAAGAUUUGCAAGAGAGAGACCCAGAAUUGCGAGAUGUAAACUCAGAAUUGUGAGAUGAAAACUCAAGAUUGGAUGCAAGAAAGGUAGAAUUAUUAUAUCUCACAAUUCUGACUUGCUUUUUGAAUUGAGUUUAUUUCUUGCAAAUUAUAACUCACAAUUAUGAUGUUGUUUUUCUCAGAAUUGCAAGAAAAAAUUCAGAAUUGAGAGAAUUGCUAUCUCAAAAUUGCUAAAAAGGCAGAAUUGUGAGAUAAAAAGUUGCAGUAACCCCUCUUUAUUUUUUUUUAUCCAUGGUGAAAACAGACCUUCAUAUUUAGCAGACGCUUUUAUCCAAAAUGACACGUAAAGGAGAAACAAAAGCAAUAUUUGUAAUAUACAAUGCCAGGUUUAUUAAGUAAGACAUUAAUAAAUUCAUUUCCCCGAAAAGUGUGAUACUGUUUGUCUGACCAACGGUAGCUAGAAGCAAGAAAAUACACACUUCAGGUUUAAGUUUGUCUUUUUUCUUGUGUGUAAUCAAAUUGGUAUGUCUUUAUUUUAGUAGAGUAUGUGGCAAGACUGGAUCCAUUAUAGAUUAAUUCCACAUGAAACCAACACAGAACAGGAUCUGUAAUAUAUUAGCACCGUGUGUGCAUGUGUGUGUUUAUGCAUUGAUAAUAUAUGUGUGUGAGCAUUUGCAUGCUUGUGUGCAUGUGUUAAUGUGUGUGUGAAAAAGUUGCGAAACAGGCCGGCCAUCCUUAUCCCUUACACAAACACAGACUAAACAGUGACUGCACUAUAAUAAACACAGACAUUAGCAGCUGACUGUAAUUUGUGUUGUAAAAGAUGAAUAUGCUGCUUACAAAGACACAAAGCUGGAGCAGUACAGAGUUUUAUGGGUUAGCAGAUGGGAUAAUGGAGUCUUUCAGACAAGUUCUUCAUGAAAAUGCCAGAAUAUCGCCUUGUCCCAGGGUUGCCAAUGUGUCUUGGAUUCAAAGGCUUGAUUUCAGUUAGAAAAGUAGGUUAAUUGCUUUUCAGUGUUCAAUAAUAUAUUUAAUCUGUUGGUUUGAGGUUAACCUGGCAUCUUGUCUCUAUGGCUUUUCCUCACAAAGUAAUUUUAAAGACAUCAAGAAGCUCACAACCAUGAAAUGAGCUUAAUAAAUUGAUCAUUCACCCACAAACAAAAAUUGUAAUGAAUUUUUCAGGUUGUUCUAAACCUCUAUGACUUUUUUUCUGAGGAAUAUGGGAUUUUAAAAAUAAAUCCAAACAGCACUGAACAUUGUUCAAAAUAUCUUCUUUGGUGUUGCUUUCCCUUAGCAGGUUCUCAGACUCGUUUACAGCCAUUAAAAUGAUUGAAAGGAUUAUUUAAACUUCAGCAGCAGGUCUGUGCUUUGUCUCCUCUGUCACUGCUUGAUGUCUGUCUCUGUGUAACCUAACAUUUGUGUGUGAGAAGAAGUUGAACUGACACCUGUAGCACAACAGUUUCAGGAGACGCACGCAUUCAAAACUGUGCUGCCUAAAAUAUUUCAAGGACAAAAGAAGUGUAAAGUGGAGUAAAUUAGUGUUCAUGGAAUUCUUUGGAUUGUGAAGCCUCACUGCUGCUUUCUACCACCAGAUGGAGCAAUAAUACUCAGCAACUAGGAAAAGUUCUACUUUGUGUGUACCAUAUUUCAAAGAGAAAUCUGUACCCAAGCUAAACCUGAUAUAACCUUC